GUCAGCGUAGUAUAGUGGUUUGAGCACUACGCUAUGACUCUGGAGACCAGGGUUCGAAUUCCAGCUUAGCCA